rnacentral:rRNA from 1 species
UGGUGGAGUGAUUUGUCUGGUUAAUUCCGUUAACGAACGAGACCUCGACCUGCUAAAUAGUUUUGUGUUAUCUCCGGGUAACAUUUAGACUUCUUAGAGGGACUAUCGGUGCGUAGCCGAUGGAAGUUCGAGGCAAUAACA